rnacentral:rRNA from 1 species
AGGGGAGUGAAAAAGAACCUGAAACCGUGUACGUACAAGCAGUGGGAGCACGCUUAGGCGUGUGACUGCGUACCUUUUGUAUAAUGGGUCAGCGACUUAUAUUCUGUAGCAAGGUUAACCGAAUAGGGGAGCCGAAGGGAAACCGAGUCUUAACUGGGCGUUAAGUUGCAGGGUAUAGACCCGAAACCCGGUGAUCUAGCCAUGGGCAGGUUGAAGGUUGGGUAACACUAACUGGAGGACCGAACCGACUAAUGUUGAAAAAUUAGCGGAUGACUUGUGGCUGGGGGUGAAAGGCCAAUCAAACCGGGAGAUAGCUGGUUCUCCCCGAAAGCUAUUUAGGUAGCGCCUCGUGAAUUCAUCUCCGGGGGUAGAGCACUGUUUCGGCAAGGGGGUCAUCCCGACUUACCAACCCGAUGCAAACUGCGAAUACCGGAGAAUGUUAUCACGGGAGACACACGGCGGGUGCUAACGUCCGUCGUGAAGAGGGAAACAACCCAGACCGCCAGCUAAGGUCCCAAAGUCAUGGUUAAGUGGGAAACGAUGUGGGAAGGCCCAGACAGCCAGGAUGUUGGCUUAGAAGCAGCCAUCAUUUAAAGAAAGCGUAAUAGCUCACUGGUCGAGUCGGCCUGCGCGGAAGAUGUAACGGGGCUAAACCAUGCACCGAAGCUGCGGCAGCGACGCUGAUGCGUUGUUGGGUAGGGGAGCGUUCUGUAAGCCUGCGAAGGUGUGCUGUGAGGCAUGCUGGA